rnacentral:rRNA from 1 species
UCAGGAUGAACGCUGGCGGCGUGCCUAACACAUGCAAGUCGAACGGGGCGCGCAGGCUGAGGCUUUUCGGAGCGGAAGCCUGCGCUGCCCAGUGGCGGACGGGUGAGUAACGCGUGGGCAACCUGCCCUGCACUGGGGGACAACAGCCGGAAACGGCUGCUAAUACCGCAUAUGCCCGCAGCCCCGCAUGGGGCGGCGGGGGAAGCUCCGGCGGUGCAGGAUGGGCCCGCGUCUGAUUAGCUGGUUGGCGGGGCAACGGCCCACCAAGGCGACGAUCAGUAGCCGGCCUGAGAGGGUGGGCGGCCACAUUGGGACUGAGACACGGCCCAGACUCCUACGGGAGGCAGCAGUGGGGGAUAUUGCACAAUGGGGGGAACCCUGAUGCAGCGACGCCGCGUGGGCGAUGGAGUGCUUCGGCAUGUAAAGCCCUAUCAGCAGGGAAGAAAAUGACGGUACCUGACUAAGAAGCCCCGGCUAAAUACGUGCCAGCAGCCGCGGUAAUACGUAUGGGGCAAGCGUUAUCCGGAUUUACUGGGUGUAAAGGGAGCGUAGGCGGCCUGGCAAGCCUGAUGUGAAAUACCGGGGCCCAACCCCGGGGCUGCAUUGGGAACUGCCAGGCUGGAGUGCCGGAGAGGCAGGCGGAAUUCCUAGUGUAGCGGUGAAAUGCGUAGAUAUUAGGAGGAACACCAGUGGCGAAGGCGGCCUGCUGGACGGUGACUGACGCUGAGGCUCGAAAGCGUGGGGAGCAAACAAGAUUAGAUACCCUGGUAGUCCACGCCGUAAACG